rnacentral:rRNA from 1 species
AACGCUGAAGAGAGGAGCUGCUCUUCUUGGAUGAGUUGCGAACGGGUGAGUAACGCGUAGGUAACCUGCCUGGUAGCGGGGGAUAACUAUUGGAAACGAUAGCUAAUACCGCAUAAAAUGGAUUAUCGCAUGAUAAUGCAUUGAAAGGUGCAAAUGCAUCACUACCAGAUGGACCUGCGUUGUAUUAGCUAGUUGGUGGGGUAACGGCUCACCAAGGCGACGAUACAUAGCCGACCUGAGAGGGUGAUCGGCCACACUGGGACUGAGACACGGCCCAGACUCCUACGGGAGGCAGCAGUAGGGAAUCUUCGGCAAUGGACGGAAGUCUGACCGAGCAACGCCGCGUGAGUGAAGAAGGUUUUCGGAUCGUAAAGCUCUGUUGUAAGAGAAGAACGAGUGUGAGAGUGGAAAGUUCACACUGUGACGGUAUCUUACCAGAAAGGGACGGCUAACUACGUGCCAGCAGCCGCGGUAAUACGUAGGUCCCGAGCGUUGUCCGGAUUUAUUGGGCGUAAAG